GUUUGACGAAGGUAAAUCGAAAGAGAAAGCUAGCCCGUGUCGUAAGAUCUUGUUAAGUCGAAGUCGACUUUAGGAUUCAGUUAGUUGCUGACCGCACAACGCUCAGAGCCGGUAUCAGUGUCGACAGUUGGAGAGAUAUCAAAUCGAAUCGGAUCGGAUCAUCCAGUCGUGCAUAGAAACUCAUCAACGUUGAAUCAUAAGCAGACACCUUCAGCGGACUAGAUAGGAGAAAGGCAAGAUGUUUAAACUCGAAAUCAUCCUAACCGUACUGACAAUCAGUUUGAAUUUGGCGCUCUCGAGACCUGCUGAAGAGCCAAUCAGAAUCGAUCUGACGCCAACGCAAGCUACCGACUUGUCCAGCAGACUACAAGAAGGAAAGGAAUUAUUAGGACAAUUAGCGGACAGAGUGAGAUUCGGCAGAGGGAGAUUCGUCAAUUCGGCUGCCAUGGUUAGAAACAUCAUUGUAAAUCAUGCUGAGGAAGCUGCCAGUGAAGCACAAAACAAUGUGGCUUCAGUGAUAGCGGCCAAGAGUGAUAUUGUGGCUCAAGGACAAAAUGUCCUGAAUUCUAUUCAAAAAGGGGUCUUUGCUAACUUCCUAGCACCCAAGACACGUGAAACUGUACGACUUGAGAGUGAAGCUGGACAGGCUUUCUUUGAGAGAAACAAGGAGAGUCCUGUAGAAACAAUCCUCGGAAAUAUUCUGAGACCGACGCCUUUGGUCGAUGGAAUUCGCGAGGAAGAAAAGUAUGGCAACUCUGGUGACAAAUUUUCUGGUAUUGGCAGGGCGUUGGUUAAUGGUUUCGAAGGAAUCAGUAAUUUUCUCAACAGCGUAGUAGACCUGCCCAUCGACGCAGCUAAAAAAACUUCGCGCGGUGUCACGGAAGCACUCAACCAAAUUGGCGCGCGAUUAAUAGGACUGCAGUGAUAAGUGUCUGAUAAGAAAUACGAAUAAUGCAUAUGCAAUGUAUAAGAGUGGCCUGAUCAAAAUGUAAAUAGAAGCGGUAAGAGGGACGGAGCUGAGAAAAAUACUAGAGGAAAAAGAAGAAAAAGCACCAAAUGGUACUACGGAAUAGUCCGGAUAACGUAACGCACGUAAAUGGUAAAGAAGAGUACGGAUGGGGGCGUAGAAACGGUCCCCAGGGACUUCCUGCCAAUUGCGGACAAUUUGCAAUCAUCUAUGAUCCCCACACGUUACGUCUCGCUACUCUGCCUAAGCUUGUGAACGGUGCUUAAAGUUUUAACGCAGAGUUGGAUCUCGUCGAAUCGCGCACACUAAAACGCCGACCUACGUUUGAUGCUCCCACGGGAGAGCAGCGACUUUUUGAAAAGUUGAAAGACCGCGUGGGGAGGUUGACAAGUUUUCUACAAUGCGAUUCUGCAGUUUCAUAGAAACUGCUUGAAGUAUUUUUUCACAAAUUUCUAUCAAACUUUUAUACGACUUAAAUAAAAUGUAUAUAGAUGUAUUUUGAAAUUCAUAAUUAUUCAUUUUGGACGUAUUCAUCUAAAUUAGGCAUACUUAAUUUACGACUCAUAUAGAUCUGUCGAAUCUGAUCAACCUACUGAUUAUUGGAUUAAUUUAUAAUCGUCGUUGCGCAAUCUACAUACUCGUGUACCUACGUACAGUGCAAUUGUCUUAUGCAACUCUGCGAGUGCAUCCACGUACUUAACGAAUUGACCCAUUUAUCAAAAUAUCAAUUUUCCCAUGAGAAAUCAAUGCGUUUAAUGACAGACGCUUCUCCUUCAAAUACCUCCUAUUCAUUUGUAUUAGCUCUUUGUAUCCUCUGUACAAGAUAACGUAAUCAGUAAGGAAACAAGGAAAAACGAUGGUCAAUAAUAAUAUACAAAUAUAUACAAAUAUUAUAAAUUAACCAGUAAACAAAAAAUUCACAUAUAUCCAUAUAUGAAAUUGUAACAAAUACUAUGUAAAAACAAUAUAUUUAUAGCAUGUGAAAAUUGUAAUACAAAUUUAUAUAAAUAUAUGUAUAUACAUAUAUAGUGCGUAGUAUUCAUUUGCACAGUAAUAGUUUCGUCCGUCAACUAGCAACGAGUUAAUUCUUUCCGUCAGAAUGUAAAUCAUCUCGUCAAGGUUAAUGAGGCCUUGUGGACGUUUACAAUAAAUUUAUCAGCAUGGAUGAAGCAGUACGAAGGUAACACGUCAAUUAAUUUGGGCCAAUGAACUACGUAAGACUUCCCAGUGCGUUGUCGUACAAAAAAUUAUUGAUUACUGAACAAAAAUAUAUCGCAGUUCAAAGUCUG